UACGUAGGGUGCGAGCGUUGUCCGGAAUUAUUGGGCGUAAAGGGCUCGUAGGCGGUUUGUCGCGUCUGCUGUGAAAACCUGAGGCUCAACCUUGGGCUUGCAGUGGGUACGGGCAGACUAGAGUGCGGUAGGGGUGACUGGAAUUCCUGGUGUAGCGGUGAAAUGCGCAGAUAUCAGGAAGAACACCCGUGGCGAAGGCGGCUCUCUGGAAACGCAACUGGACGCUGAGACGCGAAAGCCGUGGGGAGCAAACAGG
rnacentral:rRNA from 1 species